rnacentral:rRNA from 1 species
UACGUAGGCGGCAAGCGUUGUCCGGAUUUACUGGGCGUAAAGGGAGCGUAGGCGGAUACUUAAGUGGGAUGUGAAAUACCUGGGCUUAACUUGGGUGCUGCAUUCCAAACUGGGUGUCUAGAGUGUUGGAGAGGAAAGUGGAAUUCCUAGUGUAGCGGUGAAAUGCGUAGAGAUUAGGAAGAACACCAGUGGCGAAGGCGACUUUCUGGACAAUAACUGACACUGAGGCUCAAAAGCGUGGGGAGCAAACAGGAUUAGAUACCCUGGUAGUCCACGCCGUAAACGAUGGGUACUAGGUGUAGGAGGUAUCGACUCCUCCUGUGCCGCCGUUAACACAAUAAGUACCCCGCCUGGGGAGUACGGUCGCAAGAUUAAA